rnacentral:tRNA from 1 species
GUCCCCGUAGCGCAGUGGAUAGCGCGCUGGACUUCUAAUCCAGAGGUCGCGGGUUCGAGUCCCGCCGGGGAUG